rnacentral:rRNA from 1 species
GACGUAGGGCGCGAGCGUUGUCCGGAUUUAUUGGGCGUAAAGAGCUCGUAGGCGGCUUGUUGCGUCGACUGUGAAAACCUGCGGCUCAACCGUGUGGUCUGCAGUCGAUACUGGCAAUCUCGAGUCCGGAAGAGGUUGGUGGAACAGCUAGUGUAGAGGUGAAAUUCGUAGAUAUUAGCUAGAACACCAGUGGCGAAGGCGGCCAACUGGUCCGGUACUGACGCUGAGGUGCGAAAGCGUGGGGAGCAAACAGG